GGUGGUACCUGUGGUGUAGGGUAACUUAUUGGGGCGUGGAGAGGAGGUGUUUGGUGGUAGGAUGGGAGAAGGUGGUACCUGUGGUGUAGGGUAACUUAUUGGGGCGUGGAGAGGAGGUGUUUGGUGGUAGGAUGGGAGAAGGUGGUACCUGUGGUGUAGAGUAACUUACUGGGGCGUGGAGAGGAGGUUUUUGGUGGUAGGAUGGGAGAAGGUGGUACCUGUGGUGUAGGGUAACUUAUUGGGGUGUGGAGAGGAGGUGCUUGUGGAUAGGAUGGGAGAAGGUGGUACCUGUGGUGUAGGGUAACUUAUUGGGGCGGGAGUGGAGGUGUUUGGUGGUAGGAUGGGAGAAGGUGGUACCUGUGGUGUAGGGUACCUUCUUGGGGUGUGGAGAGGAGGUGUUUGGUGAUAGGAUGGGAGAAGGUGGUACCUGUGGUGUAGGGUACCUUAUUGGGGUGUGGAGAGGAGGUGUUUGGUGGUAGGAUGGGAGAAGGUGGUACCUGUGGUGUAGGGUACCUUAUUGGGGUGUGGAGAGGAGGUGUUUGGUGAUAGGAUGGGAGAAGGUGGUACCUGUGGUGUAGGGUAACUUAUUGGGGCGUGGAGAGGAGGUGUUUGGUGGUAGGAUGGGAGAAGGUGGUACCUGUGGUGUAGGGUAACUUAUUGGGGUGUAGAGAGGAGGUGUUUGGUGAUAGGAUGGGAGAAGGUGGUACCUGUGGUGUAGGGUAACUUAUUGGGGCGUGGAGAGGAGGUGUUUGGUGGUAGGAUGGGAGAAGGUGGUACCUGUGGUGUAGGGUAACUUAUUGGGGCGUGGAGAGGAGGUGUUUGGUGGUAGGAUGGGAGAAGGUGGUACCUGUGGU